AAGCAGCGGCUGAAGCAACAGAUGCUCCUGGUCCUUGUGGUCCGUAUGGUCCCUGAAGUCCAUUGUUUGGUCCUUGUGGUCCAUUGCUUGGCCCUUGUGGUCCAUUGUUUGGUCCAUUUUGUCCAAGUGGGCCGUUAGGUCCUAGUGGUCCAUUUGGUCCUAGUGGUCCAUUUGGUCCGAGAGGACCGUUUGGUCCGAGUGGACCAUUUUGUUCGUAUGGUCCAUUGUUUUGUCCGUUAUUUGGUCCACUUGUUGACCUUGCUGAAGCAGCGGCUGAAGCAGCAGAUGCUCCUGGUCCUUGUGGUCCGUAUGGUCCCUGAAGUCCAUUGUUUGGUCCUUGUGGUCCAUAGCUUAGUCCUUGUGGUCCAUUGCUUUGUCCAUUUGGUCCAUUUUGUCCAACUGGGCCGUUAGGUCCUAGUGGUCCAUUUGGUCCUAGUGGUCCAUUUGGUCCGAGAGGACCGUUUGGUCCGAGUGGACCAUUUUGUUCGUAUGGUCCAUUGUUUUGUCCGUUAUUUGAUCCACUUAUUGAACUUGCUGAAGCAGCGGCUGAAGCAGCAGAUGCUCCUGGUCCUUGUGGUCCGUAUGGUCCCUGAAGUCCAUUGUUUGGUCCUUGUGGUCCAUAGCUUGGUCCUUGUGGUCCAUUGCUUUGUCCAUUUGGUCCAUUUUGUCCAAGUGGGCCGUUAGGUCCUAGUGGUCCAUUUGGUCCUAGUGGUCCAUUUGGUCCGAGAGGACCGUUUGGUCCGAGUGGACCAUUUUGUUCGUAUGGUCCAUUGUUUUGUCCGUUAUUUGGUCCACUUGUUGAACUUGCUGAAGCAGCGGCUGAAGCAACAGAUGCUCCUGGUCCUUGUGGUCCGUAUGGUCCCUGAAGUCCAUUGUUUGGUCCUUGUGGUCCAUUGCUUGGCCCUUGUGGUCCAUUGUUUGGUCCAUUUUGUCCAAGUGGGC